GACGAACGCUGGCGGCGUGCCUAAUACAUGCAAGUCGAGCGCAGGAAACUGACGGAACUCUUCGGAGGGAAGGCAGCGGAAUGAGCGGCGGACGGGUGAGUAACACGUAAGGAACCUGCCUCAAGGAUUGGGAUAACUCCGAGAAAUCGGAGCUAAUACCGGAUAGUUCAACGGACCGCAUGGUCCGCUGAUGAAAGGCGCUUCGGCGUCACCUUGAGAUGGCCUUGCGGUGCAUUAGCUAGUUGGUGGGGUAACGGCCCACCAAGGCGACGAUGCAUAGCCGACCUGGGAGGGUGAUCGGCCACACUGGGACUGAGACACGGCCCAGACUCCUACGGGAGGCAGCAGUAGGGAAUCUUCCACAAUGGACGAAAGUCUGAUGGAGCAACGCCGCGUGAGUGAUGAAGGUUUUCGGAUCGUAAAACUCUGUUGUAAGGGAAGAACACGUACGAGAGGAAAUGCUCGUACCUUGACGGUACCUUACGAGAAAGCCACGGCUAACUACGUGCCAGCAGCCGCAGUAA
rnacentral:rRNA from 1 species